GGCCCACCAAGGCGACGAUGCGUAGGGGUUCUGAGAGGAAGGUCCCCCACACUGGUACUGAGACACGGACCAGACUCCUACGGGAGGCAGCAGUGAGGAAUAUUGGUCAAUGGCCGCAGGGCUGAACCAGCCAAGUCGCGUGAGGGAUGACGGUCCUAUGGAUUGUAAACCUCUUUUGUCAGGGAGCAAAGGGCGCCACGUGUGGCGCUUUGCGAGUACCUGAAGAAAAAGCAUCGGCUAACUCCGUGCCAGCAGCCGCGGUAAUACGGAGGAUGCGAGCGUUAUCCGGAUUUAUUGGGUUUAAAGGGUGCGCAGGCGGAAUGUCAAGUCAGCGGUAAAAUUUCGGGGCUCAACCCCGUCGUGCCGUUGAAACUGGCGUUCUUGAGUGAGCGAGAAGUAUGCGGAAUGCGUGGUGUAGCGGUGAAAUGCAUAGAUAUCACGCAGAACUCCGAUUGCGAAGGCAGCAUACCGGCGCUCAACUGACGCUCAUGCACGAAAGCGUGGGUAUCGAACAGGAUUAGAUACCCUGGUAGUCCACGCAGUAAACGAUGAAUACUAACUGUCCGGGCAGAAUGAUGCCUGG
rnacentral:rRNA from 1 species